rnacentral:tRNA from 1 species
GGAGAGGUGGCAGAGUGGUCGAAUGUACCUGACUCGAAAUCAGGCGUGGGCGCAGGUUCACCGAGGGUUCGAAUCCCUCCCUCUCCGCCA